rnacentral:rRNA from 1 species
GAUGAACGCUGGCGGCGUGCCUAAUACAUGCAAGUCGAGCGAACAGACGAGGAGCUUGCUCCUCUGACGUUAGCGGCGGACGGGUGAGCAACACGUGGAUAACCUACCUAUAAGACUGGGAUAACUUCGGGAAACCGGAGCUAAUACCGGAUAAUAUGUUGAACCGCAUGGUUCAAUAGUGAAAGACGGUUUUGCUGUCACUUAUAGAUGGAUCCGCGCCGCAUUAGCUAGUUGGUAAGGUAACGGCUUACCAAGGCAACGAUGCGUAGCCGACCUGAGAGGGUGAUCGGCCACACUGGAACUGAGACACGGUCCAGACUCCUACGGGAGGCAGCAGUAGGGAAUCUUCCGCAAUGGGCGAAAGCCUGACGGAGCAACGCCGCGUGAGUGAUGAAGGUCUUCGGAUCGUAAAACUCUGUUAUUAGGGAAGAACAAAUGUGUAAGUAACUAUGCACGUCUUGACGGUACCUAAUCAGAAAGCCACGGCUAACUACGUG